AGAGUUUGAUCCUGGCUCAGAACGAACGCUGGCGGCGUGCCUAACACAUGCAAGUCGAACGGGAUUAAGGGGCUUGCUCCUUAAUCUAGUGGCGCACGGGCGAGUAACGCGUAGAUAAUCUGCCUGAUGAUCUGGAAUAACAUCCCGAAAGGGGUGCUAAUACCUGAUAAGCCCACGAUGGCCUUGGUCGUUGCGGGAAAAGGGGGGGACCUUUUGGCCUUCCGUCAUCAGAUGAGUCUGCGUACCAUUAGCUAGUUGGUAGGGUAAAGGCCUACCAAGGCUACGAUGGUUAGCUGGUCUGAGAGGAUGAUCAGCC
rnacentral:rRNA from 1 species